UACGUAGGGUGCGAGCGUUGUCCGGAAUUACUGGGCGUAAAGAGCUCGUAGGUGGUUUGUCGCGUUGUUCGUGAAAACUCACAGCUCAACUGUGGGCGUGCGGGCGAUACGGGCAGACUGGAGUACUGCAGGGGAGACUGGAAUUCCUGGUGUAGCGGUGGGAAUGCGCAGAUAUCAGGAGGAACACCGGUGGCGAAGGCGGGUCUCUGGACAGUUCCUGACGCUGAGGCACGAAGGUCAGGGGAGCAAACGGG
rnacentral:rRNA from 1 species